AACGAACGCUGGCGGCAUGCCUAACACAUGCAAGUCGAACGAGACCUUCGGGUCUAGUGGCGCACGGGUGCGUAACGCGUGGGAACCUGCCCUUAGGUUCGGAAUAACUCCCCGAAAGGGGUGCUAAUACCGGAUAAUGUCUUCGGACCAAAGAUUUAUCGCCUUUGGAUGGGCCCGCGUUGGAUUAGCUAGGUGGUAGGGUAAAAGCCUACCAAGGCGACGAUCCAUAGCUGGUCUGAGAGGAUGAUCAGCCACACUGGGACUGAGACACGGCCCAGACUACUACGGGAGGCAGCAGUGGGGAAUCUUGGACAAUGGGCGAAAGCCUGAUCCAGCAAUGCCGCGUGAGUGAUGAAGGCCUUAGGGUUGUAAAGCUCUUUUACCCGGGAUGAUAAUGACAGUACCGGGAGAAUAAGCUCCGGCUAACUCCGUG
rnacentral:rRNA from 1 species